GCUCCUUAGAGAGUGAAUUCCGUGUGUGUGUGUAUGUAUGUGUAUAUAUAUAGAGAGAGAGAGAGAUUCACUCUCUAAGGAGC